rnacentral:rRNA from 1 species
UGGGGAAUUUUGGACAAUGGGGGAAACCCUGAUCCAGCCAUCCCGCGUGUGCGAUGAAGGCCUUCGGGUUGUAAAGCACUUUUGGCAGGAAAGAAACGUCGCGGGUUAAUACCCCGCGAAACUGACGGUACCUGCAGAAUAAGCACCGGCUAACUACGUGCCAGCAGCCGCGGUAAUACGUAGGGUGCAAGCGUUAAUCGGAAUUACUGGGCGUAAAGCGUGCGCAGGCGGUUCGGAAAGAAAGAUGUGAAAUCCCAGAGCUUAACUUUGGAACUGCAUUUUUAACUACCGGGCUAGAGUGUGUCAGAGGGAGGUGGAAUUCCGCGUGUAGCAGUGAAAUGCGUAGAUAUGCGGAGGAACACCGAUGGCGGAGGCAGCCUCCUGGGAUAACACUGACGCUCAUGCACGAAAGCGUGGGGAGCAAACAGGAUUAGAUACCCUGGUAGUCCACGCCCUAAACGAUGUCAACUAGCUGUUGGGGCCUUCGGGCCUUGGUAGCGCAGCUAACGCGUGAAGUUGACCGCCUGGGGAGUACGGUCGCAAGAUUAAAACUCAAAGGAAUUGAC